rnacentral:rRNA from 1 species
GAUGAACGCUAGCUACAGGCUUAACACAUGCAAGUCGAGGGGCAGCAUGGUCUUAGCUUGCUAAGGCUGAUGGCGACCGGCGCACGGGUGAGUAACACGUAUCCAACCUGCCGUCUACUCUUGGCCAGCCUUCUGAAAGGAAGAUUAAUCCAGGAUGGCAUCAUGAGUUCACAUGUCCGCAUGAUUAAAGGUAUUUUCCGGUAGACGAUGGGGAUGCGUUCCAUUAGAUAGUAGGCGGGGUAACGGCCCACCUAGUCAACGAUGGAUAGGGGUUCUGAGAGGAAGGUCCCCCACAUUGGAACUGAGACACGGUCCAAACUCCUACGGGAGGCAGCAGUGAGGAAUAUUGGUCAAUGGGCGAUGGCCUGAACCAGCCAAGUAGCGUGAAGGAUGACUGCCCUAUGGGUUGUAAACUUCUUUUAUAAAGGAAUAAAGUCGGGUAUGCAUACCCGUUUGCAUGUACUUUAUGAAUAAGGAUCGGCUAACUCCGUGCCAGCAGCCGCGGUAAUACGGAGGAUCCGAGCGUUAUCCGGAUUUAUUGGGUUUAAAGGGAGCGUAGAUGGAUGUUUAAGUCAGUUGUGAAAGUUUGCGGCUCAACCGUAAAAUUGCAGUUGAUACUGGAUGUCUUGAGUGCAGUUGAGGCAGGCGGAAUUCGUGGUGUAGCGGUGAAAUGCUUAGAUAUCACGAAGAACUCCGAUUGCGAAGGCAGCCUGCUAAGCU